rnacentral:rRNA from 1 species
GACGAACGCUGGCGGCGUGCUUAACACAUGCAAGUCGAACGGAAAGGCCCUGCUUUUGUGGGGUGCUCGAGUGGCGAACGGGUGAGUAACACGUGAGUAACCUGCCCUUGACUUUGGGAUAACUUCAGGAAACUGGGGCUAAUACCGGAUAGGAGCUCCUGCUGCAUGGUGGGGGUUGGAAAGUUUCGGCGGUUGGGGAUGGACUCGCGGCUUAUCAGCUUGUUGGUGGGGUAGUGGCUUACCAAGGCUUUGACGGGUAGCCGGCCUGAGAGGGUGACCGGCCACAUUGGGACUGAGAUACGGCCCAGACUCCUACGGGAGGCAGCAGUGGGGAAUAUUGCACAAUGGGCUGAAGCCUGAUGCAGCAACGCCGCGUGCGGGAUAACGGCCUUCGGGUUGUAAACCGCUUUCGCCUGUGACGAAGCGUGAGUGACGGUAAUGGGUAAAGAAGCACCGGCUAACUACGUG